UACAGAGGGUGCAAGCGUUGUUCGGAAUUACUGGGCGUAAAGCGCGUGUAGGCUGCGGUGUAAGUCGGACGUGAAAGCCCUUGGCUUAACCAAGGAAGUGCAUCCGAUACUGCGUCGCUUGAGUGCCGGAGGGGGUGGCGGAAUUCCCGGUGUAGAGGUGAAAUUCGUAGAUAUCGGGAGGAACACCUGUGGCGAAAGCGGCUCACUGGACCACAACUGACGCUGAGGCGCGAAAGCUAGGGGAGCAAACAGG
rnacentral:rRNA from 1 species